UACGGAGGGUGCAAGCGUUAAUCGGAAUUACUGGGCGUAAAGGGUGCGUAGGCGGUUCGUUAAGUCUGUCGUGAAAUCCCCGGGCUCAACCUGGGAAUGGCGAUGGAUACUGGCUAGCUAGAGUGUGUCAGAGGAUGGUGGAAUUCCCGGUGUAGCGGUGAAAUGCGUAGAGAUCGGGAGGAACAUCAGUGGCGAAGGCGGCCAUCUGGGACAACACUGACGCUGAAGCACGAAAGCGUGGGGAGCAAACAGG
rnacentral:rRNA from 1 species